rnacentral:rRNA from 1 species
UACGGAGGGGGCAAGCGUUGUUCGGAGUCACUGGGCGUAAAGAGCUCGUAGGCGGCAGUGUAAGUCGGGAGUUAAAGGCAACAGCUUAACUGUUGUAAGGCUUUUGAAACUACAUUGCUAGAGUACCAGAGAGGUAAGCGGAAUUUCCUGUGUAGCGGUGAAAUGCGUAGAUAUAGGAAGGAACACCGGUUGCGAAGGCGGCUUACUGGCUGGUAACUGACGCUGAGGAGCGAAAGCGUGGGUAGCAAACAGGAUUAGAUACCCUGGUAGUCCACGCUGUAAACGAUGGGUGCUAGGUGUUGGAAGUAACCACUUUCAGUGCCGAAGCUAACGCAUUAAGCACCCCGCCUGGGGAGUACGUACGCAAGUAUGAA